GAGAGAUUCUUCUGCUAGCUUUGAAAACAUAAGUUGCCAUAUGGUAUGUUAUGAGAGAGCCACAUAACAAGGAAAUGGGGGGGGGGGGUAAGUUAUGGGUUAGAGCUAUAAGAGCUGAGAUUGGUCAAAAAGAAGGGACCUCAAUCUUAUAUGGCAGGGAAAUGAAUUCAGUCAUCAAUCAUAUGAGCUUGGCAGAGGACCCCAAGCCUCAGAUGAAACCCAGACCCCACAUACCCUGAUUGCAGCCUUGUGAGACACUAAGCAGAGGAUCAAGAUCUAUUCAUGUAGCUGAUUCCACUAAUGGAUUCCCUAAUACGGUUGCGCUCUCUCCAUAGAAACACGCGGCACGGCAGCUCCUGCAGUGAGUUCUCUCUCAGACGACCACAAAGAACACAAGAGAGAGGAUUUUCUACUCUAAGUACAUUCCAUGGAAAUGCUGAAGCAGAGAAGUGUGCAGUGAAAGGGUUAGAGAGAUGUGCGGCAGGAUAUAAAUCCCCACAUGACUCGGACACUGGGAGAGCCAGCAGCAAUGAGGCAUCUGUCUCUGGGCUUUGAGUAGCCUUUUCAGUUAAGCCCUGAAUGCUAUGCAAUUAUGUAAUUUUCUAGAUCUGUCAAGAAGCAAAAAUGUUUGGGAACCACUAUUUUAUUUUAUUAAUUUUUUCAAAGAACAGAAUUUUGGGUUUGUUGCUCACAAAAUAAGACAUAUAUAAAUACCAAAUAAGCAUUCGAAAAUAUGUUCAACUCCUUAUUCUUCAAAGGAAUGGAAAUAGAAAUAUAUACCAAUACUUAUCCUUUAGAAAGUCUAAAUUUUUUAAAAACUAGAAUUACCAUAUUCUGGUGAAGACAUGGAACAAGUCAAAUUUUCAAACAAUGAUAGUGAGGUGUUUAAAAUUUUACAACCACUAUUUGAAACAUUUUGGAAGUUUUUUAUAACAUUAAACUUAAUUUACCCCAUAACCUGCUAAUUCAUUCCUAUAUAUAUAUAUAUAUAUAUAUACUCAAGAUAAAUGAAACAUAUGUCCAAAAAAUUGUACAAAAUUUUCUCAGCAGUUUCAUUUAUAUUAAUCAAAAAUGGAA
rnacentral:lncRNA from 1 species